UAGGAAGGGGGCUAGCGUUGAUCGGAAUUACUGGGCGUAAAGCGCACGCAGGCGGAUUUGUAAGUCAGGGGUGAAAUCCCGGGGCUCAACCUAGGAACUGCCUUUGAUACUGCAAGUCUUGAGUCCGAGAGAGGUGAGUGGAAGUCCUAGUGUAGAGGUGAAAUUCGUAGAUAUUAGCAAGAACACCAGCGGCGAAGGCGGCUCACUGGCUCGGUACUGACGCUGAGGUGCGACAGCGUGGUGAGCAAACAGG
rnacentral:rRNA from 1 species